rnacentral:rRNA from 1 species
UUGACCUCGGAUCAGGUAGGGAUACCCGCUGAACUUAAGCAUAUCAAUAAGCGGAGGAAAAGAAACCAACAGGGAUUACCUCAGUAACGGCGAGUGAAGCGGUAACAGCUCAAAUUUGAAAUCUGGCCUCACGGUCCGAGUUGUAAUUUGUAGAGGAUGCUUCGAGCAUGGUCUGGCCUAAGUUCCUUGGAACAGGACGUCAUAGAGGGUGAGAAUCCCGUAUGCGGCCAGGUGCCUACGCUCAUGUGAAGCUCCUUCGACGAGUCGAGUUGUUUGGGAAUGCAGCUCAAAAUGGGUGGUAAAUUUCAUCUAAAGCUAAAUAUUGGCCAGAGACCGAUAGCGCACAAGUAGAGUGAUCGAAAGAUGAAAAGCACUUUGGAAAGAGAGUUAAACAGUACGUGAAAUUGUUGAAAGGGAAGCGCUUGCAACCAGACUUGCGCGCGGCCGAUCAUCCGGUGUUCUCACCGGUGCACUCGGCCGUGCUCAGGCCAGCAUCGGUUUUGGCGGCUGGAUAAAGGCCCUAGGAAUGUGGCUCCUCUCGGGGAGUGUUAUAGCCUAGGGUGCAAUGCAGCCUG